rnacentral:rRNA from 1 species
CAAUAGCGUAUAUUAAAGUUGUUGCAGUUAAAAAGCUCGUAGUUGAAGAUACGAACGCUUACACUAGAACAAAGUUUCCGGUGUCUGCGUUCACUUUUCGCAAAGACAGCCUGGCCCAUUAGUUUGGGUCUUGUUUGAGUUGCGUCAUUUACUGUGAACAAAUUAGGGUGUUUAAAGCAGGCCUACGUUUGAAUACACUAGCAUGGAAUAAUAAGAUAUGAUCUUGGUCGUAUUUUGUUGGUGACUACCAAGAUAAUGAUUGAUAGAAACUGUUGUGGGUAUUCGUAUGAGCAUGUCAGAGGUGAAAUUCUUGGAUUUUGAUCAGACGAACUACUGCGAAGGCAUUUACCAAGGAUGUUUUCAUUAA